CGAUGGUCUCUGGGUGUAUAAAGGCUGGAAGACUAUCAAAUAUGAUGGUGUUGCUGGGUUUACCGCGGGUUCAACAUUUCUUGUGUUGGAAUUAUUGUCAUCUGUGGUCUCUACUUCGGAUUGUACGACUCUCUAAAGCCAGUUCUUUUGAAUGGUGACUUAGCGGAUAGUUUCUUGCUUCUCCACAUGCUUGUGGUACAUCUAGAUGAAUGUUCAGAAGUACUCUAUCGUGCCAUAUCUUUCCAACUACGACCAAAAGUCUGUAUAUGAGUCACCAACACCGUCAAAAAUGAUUGUUCCUUUUCCGUCUUUUCCAACAGCUUGACAUGUUCAGCAGACCAAUAUGCAUUGUCCAAGUACAUUGUUGGGUCCUUUAUGGUAGAAUCCCAGGCUGGGAAGGUAGGGAUGACCGUGGAGUCUGAUCUCAAACUAGCUCAACUUCAACAUCAUCUUCCUGCAAAUGAACCAGGCAGGCUUAUGCAACUUGUUGAGGGCACUACAGGGGAAGAUAAUAUAUCUUUAAGUGUGAAGGUAAGCGUUUGAUAUUUAAGUUAAUGUAGGACGUUUCUCCAAAUCAAAGAUUUUGUUUGAAGUUGUAUUAAUGUCU